GACGAACGCUGGCGGCGUGCUUAACACAUGCAAGUCGAACGAUGAAGCCGGAGCUUGCUCUGGUGAAUUAGUGGCGAACGGGUGAGUAACACGUGAGUAACCUGCCCUUGACUCUGGGAUAACUGCGGGAAACUGUAGCUAAUACCGGAUACGACCCUCGGAGGCAUCUCCUGGGGGUGGAAAGAAUUUCGGUCAAGGAUGGACUCGCGACCUAUCAGCUAGUUGGUGAGGUAAAGGCUCACCAAGGCGACGACGGGUAGCCGGCCUGAGAGGGUGACCGGCCACACUGGGACUGAGACACGGCCCAGACUCCUACGGGAGGCAGCAGUGGGGAAUAUUGCACAAUGGGCGCAAGCCUGAUGCAGCAACGCCGCGUGAGGGAUGACGGCCUUCGGGUUGUAAACCUCCUUUAGCAGGGAAGAAGCGAAAGUGACGGUACCUGCAGAAAAAGCACCGGCUAACUACGUGCCAGCCGCCGCAGUAA
rnacentral:rRNA from 1 species